rnacentral:tRNA from 2 species
GCCAUCCUAGCUCAGUUGGUAGAGCAACGGUUUUGUAAACCGUAGGUCGUCGGUUCAAGCCCGACGGAUGGCU